AGAUGGUUCUGUCUGUGCACAGGGAUGGAACAGUCAUCCCUACCAACCUGGAGGAAGUCCUGCAGACCAAGAGCUUCUUGGGCUUCCCCAGCAUCCUAGGGAUCAACAACCUUUUUCCUGUUUCCUGGCUGGGAUCUUGGAAUGACCCAUGAAAACAUGAUGAUUAUGAUCCUGGUGUUUAUGCUUCAAAAACUGCAUCAGCCAGACUCUGCCCUGGGGAUCAUCGUAGAGGAGACAUGGUGACAUGAAUGACCCCGUGGGGAACAGGGAUGCCUCUACUGAUUGUGGUCCCAGGGGGUGUAGAGAUACAUUACACACGUGUCUAUGCAAGAUUCUGGUUGCUUGAUCUACUAUGAGUUCCAGCAGCAUCCCUCCAUGGUCACAUCAGCAGACCAGGCUUUGUGAAAGCAGACCACUGAGAUAACACGACAGAGGAGGAACGACAGCUUAGCAGCACCAUGAUGAAAUACUGGACUAACUUUGCCAGAACAGGUAACCCUAAUGGAGAGUGUGUGUUUGAUUGGCUGACAUUCACUACAGAUCCAGGCCAACCUCGGGCUGGGCAGUGUCUCAGAAAAGAAGAGAGCCCAGUUCUAGAGAGAAGACUUCCCCAAAGGACUGCAGACUGCUGGACACAAAGACGCACAGAGUGACCUGUAGAACUGAAUGUUCACUAUGUCAAAAUGUUGUUCUAGGAGUGUCCAUGUUGUUGCCCUCCACUCCAGUGAUGCCAAGCAGUUUGCAAUUAGGUUACAGUAUAUGAGGCUUUCUUUGCCUUUUCCUUAUUUUGUGUCAUAUUUUGGCUAUUUUAAUAUUCCAGAUUUUCUUUCAUGGUUUGGUCUUUUUUUAAAUAUUUUAUUUAGCAAUUUUUUACCAUUUAUGUAGUUUAUUUUUAUCUUGCUGUGUUCAUAUGUCCAUUAAAGCCAUAAAAUAA